CGAGCUCGCGUCGUCUGCGCCGUCACCCCCUGCCCGUGUCGCCGUUGUGCCCUGCUACCGUUGAGGGAAGUUGCCACCACGGUUGGAAUCGCGAACUGAGGAGGAAGUCGUUGAUUCUGUCACCGGUACCAUGUCUCGUCACCGUUGCUACCACCAGAGGAAACCACUGUCACUAACGCAAGGAACAAAACUCGAAGAGGGAGGCAGUGGAGGGUGAUGCUGCUGUCAUCGUCGCUGUGGAGGUGAACCAACGUCGUGUCUUUGCUUCCCAGAACCACCGUUGCUGCUGCCAUCAUCCCCUAGCUUGGUUGUCAUCGCUACUGGAAACUCUGAUUGCUAUUGUUGCCUGUUAGAGAGAUGAAUUGUUCUGUGAAGAGAGGGCUGCCGGGGUUGCUACUGCUGGUUCUGAUUCUGUUACAUUGAUUCUGAAGCAGACGGAACCAGCAUCUGCUCUCUUGAGUGGUGGUGGUGGUGAGUUUGCGCUUGUUCUUGACACCAGUGGUGAUAAGCUUCCUAAUACAUUCAACUUGGCGUACAAGAGUGUUCCUGUGCAUGAUGUAACUGUAGGAUCAUAUAUCCUUGUUGGUGCUGGUGAGGUAAGUUAUGAUAGAAUCUACUGUUUACCUGUCUUCCAUUAAUUUUUAAGUUUGAAUUGGUUGAAUAUAAUUAUACCUGCAACCAACGGCUGGAGUUCUUUAGAAUUUCUGGGGUUUUACUCAUAGAGAACAGUAAUUCUAUUAGUCCCUUGCAAUUUCUUGUCUCGCUAUUCUCUGUUUUAAAGACUUUAAUCAGACAAGAGAGAGAUAGUAAAGAAAAAUAUAUUUUCCUAUAUAUAGAGGGACAAAUUAAUAACAAGUAUUCAAGUAAUGACUUAUUAUGCCACUCUCACGGGUUUGAAAUUAGAAUUUUAUGAUGGUGGACUGGUGGUUGUUGUUGUUGUUGUAGUAUUUGUUGCUGAACCAUGCUCUGCAAAGUGUCUUGUUUUCAAUGUUGCAAGUCUCAUUUAAUUUGAGUUGAACCGUUUGGUUAUGUUGCCUGUGUGAUUUUCUCACAUGUUUGUGCUAACUGAACAAUUUGAAACUAUAGGUACUAGAGACAGUAAAGCUCAAAUUUUCUAGACAAUUUUUUAGAAUUGCAUUAAUUGACAUCAUAUUGUUAUUGCUGGUCGUUUUUUCAUGUGUGUGGCACUUAUUAGAAGCUUCUCCAUAAGAAAGAAGAUGUAUGAACAUGAUGGAGUUUGAAAUUUGUAGUUUGUAUUUUGGAGAUUUAUAAUUCAUUGUUUUUCUUGUCCUAUGUAUCUAUCUAGUUCAUUAGGGUUCUUCAAUGUGUCUUGUUAGUUUGUACUUUAAAGUUUAUAUGUUGAAGAUUUAUAAAACAAUAUUAGUUAAAUGAAAGAUAUUUGAACUAUCUA